rnacentral:rRNA from 1 species
AGGCAGCAGUGAGGAAUAUUGGACAAUGGGCGCAAGCCUGAUCCAGCCAUGCCGCGUGCAGGAUGACGGUCCUAUGGAUUGUAAACUGCUUUUAUACAGGAAGAAACACCUCUACGUGUAGAGACUUGACGGUACUGUAAGAAUAAGGAUCGGCUAACUCCGUGCCAGCAGCCGCGGUAAUACGGAGGAUCCAAGCGUUAUCCGGAAUCAUUGGGUUUAAAGGGUCCGUAGGCGGUCAGGUAAGUCAGUGGUGAAAGCCCAUCGCUCAACGGUGGAACGGCCAUUGAUACUGUCUGACUUGAAUUAUUAGGAAGUAACUAGAAUAUGUAGUGUAGCGGUGAAAUGCUUAGAGAUUACAUGGAAUACCAAUUGCGAAGGCAGGUUACUACUAAUUGAUUGACGCUGAUGGACGAAAGCGUGGGUAGCGAACAGGAUUAGAUACCCUGGUAG